CAGCCGCCGCGGUAAUACGAAGGGGGCUAGCGUUGCUCGGAAUUACUGGGCGUAAAGGGAGCGUAGGCGGACAUUUAAGUCAGGGGUGAAAUCCCAGAGCUCAACUCUGGAACUGCCUUUGAUACUGGGUGUCUUGAGUGUGAUAGAGGUAUGUGGAACUCCGAGUGUAGAGGUGAAAUUCGUAGAUAUUCGGAAGAACACCAGUGGCGAAGGCGACAUACUGGAUCAUUACUGACGCUGAGGCUCGAAAGCGUGGGGAGCAAACAGGAUUAGAUACCCGCGUAGUCCCUGUCUCUUAUAC
rnacentral:rRNA from 1 species